rnacentral:rRNA from 1 species
CGGUAACAGGUCUUCGGACGCUGACGAGUGGCGAACGGGUGAGUAAUACAUCGGAACGUGCCCAGUCGUGGGGGAUAACUACUCGAAAGAGUAGCUAAUACCGCAUACGAUCUGAGGAUGAAAGCGGGGGACCUUCGGGCCUCGCGCGAUUGGAGCGGCCGAUGGCAGAUUAGGUAGUUGGUGGGAUAAAAGCUUACCAAGCCGACGAUCUGUAGCUGGUCUGAGAGGACGACCAGCCACACUGGGACUGAGACACGGCCCAGACUCCUACGGGAGGCAGCAGUGGGGAAUUUUGGACAAUGGGCGAAAGCCUGAUCCAGCAAUGCCGCGUGCAGGAUGAAGGCCUUCGGGUUGUAAACUGCUUUUGUACGGAGCGAAAAAGCUCCUUCUAAUACAGGGGGCCCAUGACGGUACCGUAAGAAUAAGCACCGGCUAACUACGUGCCAGCAGCCGCGGUAAUACGUAGGGUGCGAGCGUUAAUCGGAAUUACUGGGCGUAAAGCGUGCGCAGGCGGUUAUGUAAGACAGAUGUGAAAUCCCCGGGCUCAACCUGGGAACUGCAUUUGUGACUGCAUGGCUAGAGUACGGUAGAGGGGGAUGGAAUUCCGCGUGUAGCAGUGAAAUGCGUAGAUAUGCGGAGGAACACCGAUGGCGAAGGCAAUCCCCUGGACCUGUACUGACGCUCAUGCACGAAAGCGUGG